rnacentral:lncRNA from 1 species
CCCUCCUAAUAUCUGGUUCAUGCUCCCCCACAGCUUAGAUUGUGAAGACUUGCUUAGUCCAUCCUUUUGCUUUGCUUAUUAAUGAUGCCCCAAGAUGCAAAAUACUAAUUAUUUUGCUUUAUGUGUGUGCUACAUUUUAGAUGCAAUUGCUGAUCAACAUCUUUGGCUUCACGGUUAUUCAUGGAAACUGGAUGUGGUGAGUGUCGUCAAAAUUUUAUCCAUUUUUUAUUUUCUUCACAUUUUUAGUAAAAUGACUAUUCAGACAAGCUUAAAAAAUAGAUAAAUUGGUUUCAUAACGUUUGGAUUCUAGAGGCUUGUCAUGCACUGCAAGUCUACUUGUUGAUCCAUUUGAACCAAUGCAUGAGCUCAGUCGAAUUCACAUCAAUGUCCUUUAACACUGCAGGCAAUGAAACAAAAGGAGUUGCACUGGUUGGGAGGCAUGGAGAGUUCAAGUACUAUCUGGGAUACUACUUACAUUGCUAAUAAGUUAACGUCUGGUCCUAAUACUAGGAUUCCCAGCUAUCUUAGUUUCAAGCCCUGUAUGCUGAUUUGAUUGAAGGUGGAAAUGGGACUCCUUUUGGUGCUUAAGUAAUAACUCAAUGAUAGCGGGAACUGGUUGAAUUAUCAAUAUACAUUUGGGCAUAGAGCAUGAGGAUGUAUGAAACUUCUGAACACUUUCAGGUUGUCUAUAAAUUAACAGUCUUGGCCACUUAAGAAAAGUGAAUUGCAACUAAAUUGUUGAAAAAUGCAGUUCUACGAUUAAGUACUUUGCUGAAAUUUUCAGGUUGUCGGACAAACUGCAACUAUGAACAGUAUGCCUCAUUUGACUCUUGUGGGGGUAGAGCGAUAAAAUAAACAUGUCAUCACUAGGCGAGUUCAAACACUGGAUGGCAAGGCGAUCAUCUAUUUGAAUACACUUAUUCGUUUCAAGGAGGUAGAAGGCGGUGCAGAAGCUGCAGUUUUGACCCCACUUGUGCUAGCCAAUUUUUUUU